rnacentral:rRNA from 1 species
GACGAACGCUGGCGGCGUGCUUGACACAUGCAAGUCGAACGGAAAGGCCUGCUUUCCCUUGUGGAUUGCGGGUACUCGAGUGGCGAACGGGUGAGUAACACGUGAGUGAUCUGCCCCCAACUUGGGUAUAAGCCUGGGAAACUGGGUCUAAUUCCCGAUAGGACUGCAGGGUGGUGCCUGUGGUGGAAAACGAUUUUCUAGUGGUUGGGGAUGAGCUCGCGGCCUAUCAGCUUGUUGGUGGGGUAAUGGCCUACCAAGGCGGCGACGGGUAGCCGGCCUGGGAGGGUGGACGGGCACAUUGGGACUGAGAUACGGCCCAGACUCCUACGGGAGGCAGCAGUGGGGAAUAUUGCACAAUGGGCGGAAGCCUGAUGCAGCGACGCCGCGUGGGGGAUGACGGCCUUCGGGUUGUAAACUCCUUUCGACCGCGAGGAAGCCACCUGGUUGGAAGGGUGGUGACGGUAGUGGUAGAAGAAGCACCGGCUAACUACGUG